rnacentral:misc_RNA from 1 species
AUUAACGACGGACAUGGUUGACCAGCUUUUUCUUUAUCUCCAAUUAGGCCACCAGAGUACAGUUCAUUUUCUGGGGAGGUAGAAAUGUCCCUCACAGAGGGGGUUAAUGGUGACAGUGCAGCUAGGGAUACAAACCUGCUCUCAGGAUUUAAUCCCAGGGAGGACAACAAUUGUACAGCUUCUCAUUCUAGUAACACUGUGGUCACAGCAAGAGUUAUUAGGAGUGUAGCAAGUGUUCCUUGUUACACUAUUGUCACACCAGUCGUAGUCGGGUAGUUCUCCCAUGGAAAUCCAGAGGCGGAUGAGUAUGUCACGCUUCAGACAGCAACGUCAGGGAACAUGUUUGUUAGAGUAAGUGUGGUGCCCUUGGGGGAAUCUUUGUAUGAUGGGGCCAUAUCAAAUAUGAAUGCAUUUACAAAGUCCGCCAUCCCACGGGGGGGGGGGGGGGGAGCUAUGCACUCUAUUUCGAAGCUCUCUGGAACCCCAUACCUACUUACACUUGUCCCUUUGGCAGGGGUACAGUAGGGAUCAACCCGAUAAUCAGGUGGGGUGCAAUGUCACCUUUAGUACUCCUGAACCUAUAAGAGUUUCAGUUGGUAGUGAUGCUAUGUCAGCUUACCCAUUAGUUAGGGAGAAUGUGUCACUGGGAACACUAGGGAGGCCGGCUGGAAAUGCAUCAACCUAAAGCAGUAGUCGGGGCGGUCAGGGCGGAAUAUCUAAGCUGAGCCCAAGAGUCUAAAGUACAACGGUAGCAUAGAGUGGGGGUUGUUUUAGGCCAAAAUCAGAACUUUAGGAAGGUACUAGGGGUGGAGAGAUGACAGUUUAUUGGCUCUUAGUGUAUCAGUGGAGUAACCAGCACUCAAGUUUUUCUACAUCCUCUCGUCGCGGGAUUAGAAAUUGAGUUUCCAUAAGAUUUGACCAGAUAUUUGGUAAGGAAGCACCUCGAGCUUUGUGUCAGGUGGAGUUAUACUCAAUGACCCAAGGAGAAGAGGAGAAAUUAGAACAAUGGGGCGACCGUGUCAUGGAGAUUGCACAGCGGGCUCGAGGCUCAAAAGUCCCAGGAGAGGUGCUUCAGGAGCAGGCAGUUUUGCUCUUUGCAAUGAGUUGUCAGGGCACGAGAGCGAGUACAAUGUUGAUUGAAAGCCCCCCUCCCCAUCCUCUGUAUGAGGCCGUGUACUAUGUGAAGAUUUAGCUUAGCCAUCAAGCCCUUAACCCGUGUCGAAGGGAAGUGCGUAUUGUUUCAGUGGACAGUCAGUAACGAGGACUGGGUUGUUAUUCUUGCAGAAAGGUUACUCCACCUAACCGUGGGAUAUAUACAUCUGGAAAAGGCAAGCAUUAUCUGUUGUACGGUCAUUGCCUUAACUGCAAGCAGCAGGGACAUUUUAGAAGGGAAUGGCAUGAGUCCUCAGCUCGUCUAGAUUUGCAGGUUCCAGGCCAGAAGUCCGAUUUUGUGGAAGCGGAUGCUAGGGGACCACUACACCUGCAGGGAUUGUAUGGGACAUCCAUGAGCAGGUACCUCUUGAUCGAUGUGAGAGGACGGCGUGACCUAUGCCAUGGACCUAGCCUAUUGCGUUCUCUGUUUUCUGGAAAAGAUGAUGGAUGUUGCGAUUGAUCAUUGCGAUGACUCUGAAUAAACUCUCCAUUGUGAUGUGAUUGAUUGCAUGACUGUUAACGUAUUUGUGUAAAGGUUUAUUUAUAUGUCCCAUUGUCCGUCUAUGAAUCAAGUGUUUAACAUUUUGUAGACUUAAAUGAAGUCAACAAAUUUAUUAUGUAGUAAUCAUGUGUGACAUCGAAUUCCUACAGUAACUCUAUACUUACGAACAAAUUGACAAACAUGUAGCGCCGACUAAGGCCCAUCAAUUUUCUGCACCGUUUUGUAAAUAUCAUGCAUCAAAAAAUAUUAUCAAAUGCUUUAACUUGUAAAACAAAUUGAUAUAAUC